UUCUCUCUCCUCUCUCCUCCCUCUCUUUCUCUCUCCUUCCUCUCUUUCUCUCCUGUCUCCCCCCUCUCUCUCUUUCUCUAAAGGGGAGUCAAGCUGAGGACACCGGUCUCUAUGACAACCUGCUAGCUCAGGAUGUGUCAUAGGAACUUGAUUAUCUAGAUUACAUUAGUGUGUGUGUUGUGUUGUGUAUGUUGUGUUGUGUGUGUGUCUGUCUCCAGGGAACAUAAUGUGUCUGCUGCUGUAGAAGAGUAGAAACGGAGGACGCUGUAUUUGAUUUAAAGCAGAUUUUAGUAACAGCGAAUCUAGUUAUUAUAUAUUGACACUGUAAUAUACUGUCCUUGUUGACGGCGGUUCAGCCUUAUCAUUGACUCGCGUCAUGUGGAGACAUAAUAUGUUAUAGGUCUGACCGUGACGAUUAUACUGGCCAGAUGUAGCUGACUGACUGAAACCGGUGGACCGACACCUUCUUAUUCAUACCAAUAUAAUACACGAGGAUGACGCAAGUCAGGUGAUUUCCCGUUUAAAGAUAACGGUGUUUGAGAUCGAGCGACAGCAGCGUCAAGCCAGCCGCGGUGGACGUUUCUGCGCCUGAAGCAGCACCGGGAGAGCAGGACGGGAGCCGCGAUCCAGCAGCGGGAGUUCCCUUUCUGAUGGAGGCGGUUAACGGACAGGAGACAGCAGCAUCGACCCGGGAGAAUAAAGACGGUUCCGUUGUCCUAGGAAUAGAGGCUCAGACGGCGUCGUAAGGAAAGGUCACCAUCACCCCAAAGCCUCCUCUCCUCUCCUCCUACAGGUCACCAUCACCCCAAAGCCUCCUGCCUCUCCACUGUUAGCUCUGUGUGUGUCUUGGAGGGAAGGUUGUGUAGCCUCUCCUCUCCUCUCCUCUCCUCUCCUCU